ensembl:rRNA 5S_rRNA 5S ribosomal RNA
GUCUACGGCCAUACCACCCUGAACGCGCCUGAUCUCGUCUGAUCUCGGAAACCCACAGAGACAGCUGACCUGAACAAGGAGGAGCUCUUGGACCCCAGACUGAUGGCU